rnacentral:lncRNA from 1 species
GCCCCACAAGCGCACGGCCAUUAUGCCAACCCUUCUGCAGGAUGGACCGCGACUGGUGAUACCAGCUUUAUCCUACCGCGAACGACAGGUCACUCAGAAGAUGAUCCUGGAAGACUGCCCUUCCAAACUUCACCCUCAUAACCAAUCUAGAAGGCACCCCAAAUUGUUGGUAUAGAUAAUCCCAGAUUACCUGGAGGUUCCUUAAUUGUUUCCUUGGAUGUAAGUGACUUCAGUUCUUCAAAGAUUUAGAACUAGGGGCGCCUGGGUGGCUCAGUCGGCUAAGCAUCUGACUCUUGAUUUCUCUCAUGGU